GACGAACGCUGGCGGCGUGCUUAACACAUGCAAGUCGAACGAAGCGGCGGACGGGUGAGUAAUGCCUAGGAAUCUGCCUGGUAGUGGGGGAUAACGUCCGGAAACGGGCGCUAAUACCGCAUACUAUCAGAUGAGCCUAGGUCGGAUUAGCUAGUUGGUGGGGUAAAGGCCUACCAAGGCGACGAUCCGUAACUGGUCUGCGAGGAUGAUCAGUCACACUGGAACGGAGACACGGGCCAGAAUCCUACGGGAGGCAGCAGUGGGGAAUAUUGGACAAUGGGCGAAAGUCUGACGGAGCAACGCCGCGUGAGUGAUGACGGCCUUCGGGUUGGAAAGCUCUGUUAAUCGGGACGCGGUACCGGAAUAGAAAGCCACGGCUAACUACGUGCCAGCAGCCGCGGUAAUAC
rnacentral:rRNA from 1 species